rnacentral:rRNA from 1 species
AUUGAACGCUGGCGGCAGGCCUAACACAUGCAAGUCGAACGAGUGGCGGACGGGUGAGUAAUGUAUGGGAAACUGCCAGAUGGAGGGGGAUAACUACUGGAAAAGGUAGCUAAUACCGCAUACCAUCGGAUGUGCCCAGAUGGGAUUAGCUAGUAGGUGGGGUAAAGGCUCACCUAGGCAACGAUCCCUAGCUGGUCUGACAGGAUUACCGGCGACGCUUGAACGGAGGCACAAUCAAGACUCCUACGGUAGGCAGCAGUGGGGAAUAUUGCACAAGAAGCGCAAGCCGGAUACAGCCAUGCCACGUGUAUGAAGAGGGCCGUCGGGUUGUAAAAUACUUUCAGCGGGGAAGCGUUGCCCGCAGAAGAAGCACCGGCUAACUCCGUGCAAGCAGCCGCGGUAAUAC